GACGAACGCUGGCGGCGUGCUUAACACAUGCAAGUCGAACGGAAAGGCCCCUUUGGGGGUACUCGAGUGGCGAACGGGUGAGUAACACGUGAGUAACCUGCCCUUGACUUCGGGAUAACUUCAGGAAACUGGGGCUAAUACCGGAUAGGAAUCCUUGCUGCAUGGUGGGGGUUGGAAAGCUUCGGCGGUUUUGGAUGGACUCGCGGCUUAUCCGCUUGUUGGUGGGGUAGUGGCUUACCAAGGAUUUGACGGGUAGCCGGCCUGAGAGGGCGACCGGCCACAUUGGGACUGAGAUACGGCCCAGACUCCUACGGGAGGCAGCAGUGGGGAAUAUUGCACAAUGGGCGGAAGCCUGAUGCAGCAACGCCGCGUGCGGGAUGACGGCCUUCGGGUUGUAAACCGCUUUCAGCAGGGGCGAAGCUUGUGGUGACGGUACCUGCAGAAGAAGCACCGGCUAACUACGUG
rnacentral:rRNA from 1 species